UACGUAGGCAGCGAGCGUUGUUCGGAAUUACUGGGCGCAAAGAGUGUGUAGGCGGUGCUCUAAGUUCGGUGUGAAAUCUCCUGGCUCAACUGGGAGGGUGCGCCGGAAACUGGAGUGCUUGAGCGUGGGAGAGGAAAGCGGAAUUCCUGGUGUAGCGGUGAAAUGCGUAGAUAUCAGGAGGAACACCUGUGGUGUAGACGGCUUUCUGGACCAUAGCUGACGCUGAGACACGAAAGCGUGGGUAGCAAACAGG
rnacentral:rRNA from 1 species